GAUGAACGCUGGCGGCGUGCUUAACACAUGCAAGUCGAACGGAAAGGCUCCUGCUUGCAGGGGUACUCGAGUGGCGGACGGGUGAGUAACACGUGGGUGAUCUGCCCUGCACUUCGGGAUAAGCCUGGGAAACUGGGUCUAAUACCGGAUAGGACGCUGGUUUGGAUGCCAUUGUGGAAAGUUUUUCGGUGUGGGAUGAGCUCGCGGCCUAUCAGCUUGUUGGUGGGGUAAUGGCCUACCAAGGCGUAGGCGGGUAGCCGGCCGGCGAGGGGAGACGGCCUCAUUGGGACUGAGGUACGGCCCAGACUCCUACAGGAGGCAGCAGUGGGGAAUAUGGCACAACGAUCGCAAGCCUGAUGCAGCGACGCCGCGUGGGGGAUGACGGCCUGCGGGGUGAAAACACCUGCCGCUAGAGACGAAGCGCAAGUGACGGUACCUGGAGAAGAAGCACCGGCUAACUACGUG
rnacentral:rRNA from 1 species